rnacentral:rRNA from 1 species
AGUGAACGCUGGCGGUAGGCCUAACACAUGCAAGUCGAACGGCAGCACAGUAAGAGCUUGCUCUUACGGGUGGCGAGUGGCGGACGGGUGAGGAAUACAUCGGAAUCUACUUUUUCGUGGGGGACAACGUAGGGAAACUUACGCUAAUACCGCAUACGACCUACGGGAGAAAGCAGGGGAUCUUCGGACCUUGCGCGAUUGAAUGAGCCGAUGUCGGAUUAGCUAGUUGGCGGGGUAAAGGCCCACCAGGGCGACGAACCGUAGCUGGUCUGAGAGGAUGGUCAGCCACCCUGGACCUGGGCCCCGGUCCAGCCCCCUACGGGGGGCGGCGGUGGGGAUUUUUCGACAAUGGGCGCAAGCCUGCUCCAGCCAUACCGCGUGGGUGAAGAAGGCCUUCGGGUUGUAAAGCCCUUUUGUUGGGAAAGAAAAGCAUCAGGUUAAUACCCCGCUGUUCUGACGGUACCCAAAGAAUAAGCACCGGCUACCUUCGU